rnacentral:lncRNA from 1 species
GACUAUCAGAAGGGUGGACAUAAAAGGGAUGAGAGUGGUCUAGUGAAAAGGGGCCAAAUCCCUCUGAGGAAUCCGAAGUCAAAACUACAACUGAAGCAAAGUUUCUACAAUGAUGAAUAGAAUGCCGGAAUUAGGUAAAACUGAUGUACCACAGUCAAGCCACACAAAAAACGAUAAUUUGUACAAAAAUGAAGAACAGAAACCCUUGAUUAACAAGUCACCCCG